rnacentral:rRNA from 1 species
GACGAACGCUGGCGGCGUGCUUAACACAUGCAAGUCGAACGAUGAACCGGAGCUUGCUCCGGGGAUUAGUGGCGAACGGUGAGUAACACGUGGGCAACCUGCCCCAGACAUCGGGAUAACCAUUCGAAAGGAUGGCUAAUACCGGAUAUGACCACUUCGGGCAUCCGAUGGUGGUGGAAAGGAUUCUGGUCUGGGAUGGGCCCGCGGCCUAUCAGCUAGUUGGUGGGGUAAUGGCCUACCAAGGCGACGACGGGUAGCCGGCCUGAGAGGGCGACCGGCCACACUGGGACUGAGACACGGCCCAGACUCCUACGGGAGGCAGCAGUGGGGAAUAUUGCGCAAUGGGCGAAAGCCUGACGCAGCGACGCCGCGUGAGGGACGAAGGUCUUCGGAUUGUAAACCUCUUUCAGCAGGGACGAAGCGAAAGUGACUGUACCUGCAGAAGAAGCACCGGCUAACUACGUGCCAGCAGCCGCGGUAAU